UUUACAACGCCGCUAUAUCCAAUCCAAUCAAUCUAUUCGAUUUUAUUACCCGAGAAACAGUUUUAACACAGGGGGAAAUCAUUGGAAAACGGGCGCAUCGAUCGAUUUGUCGAACUAGGUUAGUAGGCCACUUGUUAGUCUUCCGAGAAGAUAACUUUGAACGCUCCCAAAUUUGGAAGCAGUUGUCAAUUUCAAUACCUGUCCAAUUUGCAUUUUAAAUGCACCUUCGGUUAAUCGUAUCGGGCUAUGUUCUUUAAGGAUCGUUUUUAUGUUAUUUCAUUGGGACGUAAACAACAGCCGGAUACACAUGCACAAUUUUACACCAUUCGUCGUACAAACUUCAACAACACGUAUCUAUCAUUAAAACUCCAACUUUGGUCUCUUCUCCACCCAGGCUUUUAUAUUCGGAAUCGCCAGAACCUUUUCCUUCAGAGACUUCAAAUGCGGGUUAUCUUUGGUUAUAUCAGAUUCAUAAGCUGUAUUUAAGGAAUCUGAUAUACCGACGAAGAACAGAUCGGCAUAGCUCAACUAAAAGAUAUGAGAAAUAUAAAUCAAUUGAUUUCUUAUUCUGCGUAUACUGUUGAAUUAAACACGCUUACCUGAUUGCCAUGCAAAUAUCCGCCGUUAUUCUUUGCCAGAUCUUCCAGUUUAUUCAGCAUAUCGUUGGAAAGGAAAUCAAUUUAUUCAUGGGUACGAAAUCAAUAUUUACGCCAUCUGAAAUCGUAAAGAGCGCUAGCGAUCGCGUCGAUCUGCAACGUAUCCAAAUCAGUUUUGCCAAGCAGAUUAAACUGUUUGGCCAGGUAG